rnacentral:rRNA from 1 species
ACGCUCGACACCUACGGGAGGCAGCAGUGGGGAAUAUUGCACAAUGGGGGAAACCCUGAUGCAGCGACGCCGCGUGAAGGAUGAAGUAUUUCGGUAUGUAAACUUCUAUCAGCAGGGAAGAAAGUGACGGUACCUGACUAAGAAGCCCCGGCUAACUACGUGCCAGUAGCCGCGGUAAUCUGAGCGGGCUGGCAAGGC